rnacentral:rRNA from 1 species
UGCCAGCAGCCGCGGUAAUACGGAAGGUGCGAGCGUUAAUCGGAAUUACUGGGCGUAAAGCGCGCGUAGGCGGCUUUGUAAGUCGGAUGUGAAAGCCCUGGGCUUAACCUGGGAAUUGCAUUCGAUACUGCAGAGCUAGAGUAUGGUAGAGGGAAGUGGAAUUUCCGGUGUAGCGGUGAAAUGCGUAGAUAUCGGAAGGAACACCAGUGGCGAAGGCGACUUCCUGGCCCAAAACUGACGCUGAGGUGCGAAAGCGUGGGUAGCGAACAGGAUUAGAUA